CCUCCCGCUCCUCCGUGGAGCCCCCCCGCCGCCUCAGCAGCCCCGCGGCGGAUGCCCCACGGCGGAGCCGCGGCAGCCGACCCGCCCCCGAGGAGCACGAGCCCGCAGCCCUCUGCCCGCGCCGCAUCGGCGGGGGAGCGGCGCCGCCAACGGCCGCCGACCGCCGCUCAACGGCCGCCACCGCCGCGGGGGCUUCUGGGGUGAGUGUGAAGUUGUGGCCAGAGGGAUUUCCUAUUCCUAAGGUGACCUGGUGGACACCAACUUUCCUAGUAAAUUGCUGACGUUGCUGAGGAGGCAGCAGUAGCAAAGCCCUUGUUGAUGAAGAUACAGCAAGUCUGGGGAGGCUUUGGCAUUUCUCUGCAAUGCUGCUCCCUGAUUGUGACCCGACUCAGAUUCUGAAUGAAGCAAAGCAAGCUAGAGGAAAGCUUAUCCCAAACUCCAUAUUAUAGCUGAUCUUCAUCUCUGAUCUGAAAAGCUUCACAGGCCAAAAGAGAAUUGAGAUGAGGAAGGAAACAGAGAAUGCUGAUGAAUAUUUCCAAUUACCACCCCAGCUUAUGUCUUGGCUCUUCACAUCAAACCAGAGCAGUUUCUUUGCCUUCAGAACCUGCAGACUGACCUCUCGUGUGUACCUGUGGUGGAUUGAAGAAACCACUUGGCUAGCCAAGCUAAAUCAUUGAAAAUGGAAGUAGUGGAACUACUUCAAAACCGUGCUUCUGCUUCUAAGCAGAACUGCAGUGUAGGUAGGGACUUAGCAAGAGGACAUGUCCAAGGCAGGCUGGAAUCGAAAACCACCUGUGCGAGCCACAGAAAGAAGUCAGCGAUUCCCAGUUUGAGACUGUUGCUUGACUAGUAACACAGCAGCUGGAACGCUGAUGAUUCCUGCUGAUGGAUUCCCAUGAAUCAGCCAGUGAUAUCAGCUACGAGAAUGACUGAAGCGAUUUGAAGUUACGGUUCUCCCCCUUCGGCAUUCAAGUUUGUGAAAGACAGGAGAAGAGAGGAGAAGAAGAGAGGAGAGGAGGAGAAGA